AUUGAACGCUGGCGGCAUGCCUUACACAUGCAAGUCGAACGGUAACAGGUCUUCGGAUGCUGACGAGUGGCGAACGGGUGAGUAAUACAUCGGAACGUGCCUAGUAGUGGGGGAUAACUACUCGAAAGAGUGGCUAAUACCGCAUGAGAUCUACGGAUGAAAGCAGGGGAUCGCAAGACCUUGUGCGACUUGAGCGGCCGAUGUCAGAUUAGGUAGUUGGUGGGAUAAAAGCUUACCAAGCCGACGAUCGGUAGCUGGUCUGAGAGGACGAUCAGCCACACUGGGACUGAGACACGGCCCAGACUCCUACGGGAGGCAGCAGUGGGGAAUUUUGGACAAUGGGCGCAAGCCUGAUCCAGCAAUGCCGCGUGCAGGAUGAAGGCCUUCGGGUUGUAAACUGCUUUUGUACGGAACGAAAAGCCCUGGGUUAAUACCCUGGGGUCAUGACGGUACCGUAAGAAUAAGCACCGGCUAACUACGUGCCAGCAGCCGCGGUAAAAC
rnacentral:rRNA from 1 species